GACGAACGCUGGCGGCGUGCCUAACACAUGCAAGUCGAACGGGGUGAUUCCUUCGGGGAUCACUUAGUGGCGAACGGGUGAGUAACGCGUGAGGAACCUGCCUCUCAGUGGGGGACAACAGUUGGAAACGACUGCUAAUACCGCAUAAUGUAGCGAGAUCGCAUGAUCUUGCUACCAAAGCUUUAUGUGCUGAGAGAUGGCCUCGCGUCUGAUUAGCUAGUUGGUGGGGUAACGGCCCACCAAGGCGACGAUCAGUAGCCGGUCUGAGAGGAUGAACGGCCACAUUGGGACUGAGAUACGGCCCAGACUCCUACGGGAGGCAGCAGUGGGGAAUAUUGGGCAAUGGGGGAAACCCUGACCCAGCAACGCCGCGUGAAGGAAGAAGGCCCUCGGGUUGUAAACUUCUUUUACCAGGGACGAAGAACGUGACGGUACCUGGAGAAAAAGCAACGGCUAACUACGUG
rnacentral:rRNA from 1 species